GACGAACGCUGGCGGCGUGCUUAACACAUGCAAGUCGAACGGAAAGGCCCUGCUUUUGUGGGGUGCUCGAGUGGCGAACGGGUGAGUAACACGUGAGUAACCUGCCCUUGACUUUGGGAUAACUUCAGGAAACUGGGGCUAAUACCGGAUAGGAGCUCCUGCUGCAUGGUGGGGGUUGGAAAGUUUCGGCGGUUGGGGAUGGACUCGCGGCUUAUCAGCUUGUUGGUGGGGUAGUGGCGUACCAAGGCUUUGACGGGUAGCCGGCCUGAGAGGGUGACCGGCCACAUUGGGACUGAGAUACGGCCCAGACUCCUACGGGAGGCAGCAGUGGGGAAUCUUGCACAAUGGGGCGAAGCCUGAUGCAGCAACCCCGCGUUCGGGAUGACGGCCUUCGGGUUGUAAACCGCUUUCGCCUUUGACGAAGCGUGAGUGACGGUAAUUGGUAAAGAAGCACCGGCUAACUACGUG
rnacentral:rRNA from 1 species